GUGAAUUUCAGAUGGGAGUGAUUUCAAUAAGGCGUGAGAAUCCUGAAGAGUUAUCAACUGGCAUUAUACAUCGUUGAAAGUAGCAGUGAAAUAAUACAACUCACCCCAACGAGGCGCUGAAAAGAGUUCUCAGGAUUGGUUUACUACAGUGAUCCUCAACCCGAUCCUCAGUGUCCUCCAUAUAGAUCUGUUCCUGAUACAGCACAACUGACUCAAUGGUUGCAGUACCUCCUCAGCAUGGCACAAAGUAGUGCAGA